GUGCUCGAUUCGGCAGCACAUAUGCUAAAAUUGGAAUGAUACAGAGAGGGUUAGCAUGGCCCCUGUGCAAAGAUGGCAUGCAAAUUCAUGAAGUGUUCCAUAUUCUU
ensembl:snRNA U6 U6 spliceosomal RNA